AGAAACUUAGGAUAACUAAAACCAAACCAAAGGCCUUCAAAGCCUUAAAUAAGAGUUGAAACCUCUUAGUUUCUG
rnacentral:tRNA from 1 species